rnacentral:lncRNA from 1 species
UGGCUCAGUUCCCAAUCUAAAGCUAGAAAGACAUUUAGUGUCUUUUCAAGUUCUUGUCUAAACUCUCUCUUGAGUUUCAAGUCCUAGAGUCUGCUUUCCUCAUUGAAAAAUUUCCUGGUAUGAAGAGAUGGGACAACGAGCUUUAAAUAACAGCUUCCCGUCCAAGUACAACAUCCAUGGUUUCAAUGGAGGCAGCAACCCCACCUGGCAGUGCCUCAGCUCGUAUGGAUGGGCCAGCACUGGCCAUGAGUUAUCAAGCCAGUGAGUCUGAAUCACAGGCCUGGAGGAGUCAGAAAUCCAGCGACUGGGGCCAGGAAGACAUGAGCGAGACAAAGAGAGAUGGAUCUGCCUCUUCUUCCCAUGGUAAAGGUCCCAACCUGAGGCCACCUGAGCUGGGGAGCAGUGAAGCUACUCAGGAGCUGCUCUGGAAAGACACGAAUAGGGCUGCAGGAGGCUGGCAGCUGGAUCCUAUCGAAUGCUCUUCUUUCUCAGACACAAAAGAAGAACCACAGUAGCCACCCAGAGAGGAGCCUGGUGCUGCAGGGUGCUUCUGGGAGGCUGCAGAAAGGGACGUGGGGCGAACAGUCCCUUUUGUAGUAUGUCUUUUUGUCAGUUGCAUGACCCACUUUAUCAUCAAAAGAUGAGCCCAGGCUCCUAUGGUGGAGGCACAGUUCAAGUGCCACCACUCGCUGGUGACCUUGAGCCAACUGCCUCAUCCCUCUGUACCCCAGUGGCCUCUUCUGUAAAAUGGUGAUGGUGAUCAUAUUGCUGUGAUAGGCAUUAAAUGAACUGAUACAUUGGAGGCCCUUGGCUUAGUGCCUAGAACAUAUUAAGCAUUCCGGGAAGGUUAGCAUCUGUUGCUGUUGUUGAUAUUGUUUAUCAUUAUCAGCAAAAGUCGGUGUUUACUAAACCCUUACCAGUUUCCUGAUCCUGUCUCUGUGAUAAGUGCUUCGCAUGCAAUACCUCAUUGAAUCUGCCCAACCUUCUGAACUGGAAGCUACUCUUAACCUCCCCAUUUUACAGACAGGAACUCUAAGGCUCCGAGAGGUUAAAUUAGCUCCCCAAGUUCAUAAACUGGGGAGUGAUGGCGCCAAGAUUUGAACUCGGUUUGUGCUCCAAAGCCUCCACCUUAACAACUUUACUCCAUUGCUUCCUAGGCCUUAAUGCCACAUUAUUUUGCUCUCAGGCUGUUAGGAGACCCCAGCAAGCACUGGAGGAUUUGCGAAUGGACUGGAGCACUUAGGAGAGAACUAGGUGGGAAUCUCUGCUGUAAAGACGUGGCAGAAACACAAGGAGAAAUGGAUGAAUGAACUAUCAGUGUGGGGAAACUGCCCACAACUUCCUCAGAAACCAAACAAUCCAGGAGAUUAGAAAGUCAAUAAAGAUAUUGGAUUUAACUUACACAU